UGGUUCACCAGGUUGUGCUAGGCUACCUAGCCUUGGAUCGUGCUAGGUCGCGCAGCCUCUGAACAACUUGUCCAGGUCCGGCUCAACCGCGUGGGUGCCGUUGGAAGGGCGACGAUGCAUUUCAUUGUCACAUCGAUGCAGUCGUGUGCAUAUUAAGCCCCGUUAUCUCUUGCAAAACAUUAUAUAAACUUCGAAAUAAUAAACUUUAUUCGAUGCGAUACCUUGGCUUUUCGCAAUUUGAGCUACGAUAUCGCUGAUAAAUACGAUACGAGAGAUAGGAUUACUCAGUUUCUGUUUGCGAUUAAAAUGACGAGCUUCGUGCAAGGGAAGGCGAAAAUGGUUGAUGUCGUUGAGACCUGUUACUUACCAUAAGGAAAUCAAUAUAUGUACACACUCGAAAGAAUGACAGGUUUACACGUAAAAAUCAAUUCGAGAAUAUAAAAUUUUUAGAAUGUCAGCUUGCAGUUUUAUUCAAAAGUGCAAUACUAACAAUCUUAUUUAA
rnacentral:misc_RNA from 1 species